rnacentral:rRNA from 1 species
UGAGAGGGGGUACCCCCACACUGGUACUGAGACACGGACCAGACUCCUACGGGAGGCAGGAGUGAGGAAUAUUGGACAAUGGAGGAAACUCUGAUCCAGCCAUGCCGNGUGCAGGAUGACGGCCCUAUGGGUUGUAAACUGCUUUUAUGUAGGAAGAAACACUCUCACGUGUGAGAGCUUGACGGUACUACAAGAAUAA